rnacentral:rRNA from 1 species
GCACAAUGGGAUAAUGUGGGUCUUAGAACUUUCAUUGACAUUUAUGUGGAAGAAGUGAAUGCCAAUAACCGUGGCAAAGAACGAACAUUGACACCACUUGGAUAUGACAAUGUGGUAAGAAAGUUUUUUGAGCGCACGAGGAGAGAAUAUACACGAAAGCAAUUCAAGAAUAAGUGGGAUGUGCUGAAAAAAGAGUAUGCUGUUUGGAAGACAUUAACCCAAAAGGCAUCAGGCAUUGGGUUUGAUCCUGUUACCAAGACCAUUGCGGCUAGUGAUGAAUGGUGGGGACAUGAGAUACUUAGAAAUGAACUUGCCGCCAAGUUUCGAUUUGCACCACUAGAGGACGAGAUCAAAGUGAGUGCUAUAUUUGAUGAUGUCAGUGUGACAAAUGAGUAUGCGAGGGCGGCACCUCCCUCAUCUCAAGUUGGUGCCUCUCAAAUUCACAUUGAUGAUGAUGAUGGGGCAGGUUCAAGAUGUGAAGUAGAUGCUACUCAUGUGACACUAACAAAGCUAAAGGUUGAAAGAAGAGAUCAUGUCUUUAUUCACCUAGUCCUCCGAUGGUGCAAAAGGUUGCAAAAUAUAGUGAGGAUAGAAUGCAAUUUAAGCGUAUUGCCGACCUUUGGGAAAAGAGGGAGACUAGCCGCAAUUCGGCGACAUCUGAAAUGA